CCUUCUUCCCUCUUCCCUCUCCCCGAGCUCUCCUUCUUCUCUCCUCUGCCGCCUCGACAGGGCCUCCUCCGGCCACCAGCUCACCAAAUCGUCACCACCAUUUGAAUCCCAAUGCUGCUCCGACCGAAACCCCACCGAGUAUUGUAGACGCAAGCCGCCAUCCUCACACCUCCAUCUUACCAGAAGAAGCCACCCUAUCCAUCCAUCUCUCUCCAAUCUCAAUCUCAAUCAAAACCCAUGAAAGAUUCAAACUUUCUGCUUCAAAGGGUCUCUGAAUCGAAACCCAUAAAAAUUUGAUUCGUGAAUGGCGAGCCUGUAUGUGAAAGUUGUGCCUCCUGCGGAUCUGAAUAGGAACACAGAGUGGUUCAUGUACCCUGGAGUUUGGACCACCUAUAUUCUCAUCCUCUUCUUCUCUUGGCUUCUUGUGCUCUCGAUCUUUGGCUGCUCUCCUGGCAUGGCUGGGACGAUAGUCAAUCUCUCUCAUUUCGUGCUGGUAGCAGGUGACAAUGGUUACAGUAAAAGCAUGUCUAAGGCUUGGCGAAACUUAUAGUAAAAGCUGGUAGCAGUUAGGAUCUUGUUGUGAAGCUGGAAAAGUUACAGCACCAAUCCAAAGGCACAGUUCCAAUCAUGAUCUUUUGGCCAUAAGACUGUAGGAAGAUGGUGGAAGGCUGUACAAGGCUCCAAAUGCUUAAUUGAGAUGCAAGAAAUCUUGAGUUUAGGAUUAAUGAUUUCGUUUCUCAUUUAAUGUUUUGCAUUCUUUCAUUUUAUUUAUACACAUGUAUUGGCACACUUCAAAGGUUUGUCUUUGAAGUGGAUUAUUCAAUAAUCAAUGAAGUAUUACUUUGUUUGAA